UCGAGAGUUGAAUGCUAUACAGUAACAUGAGGCUAGUGGAUGCGGUAUGCCGGUAUGCAAGUAUUUGUGAAAUUGUGAUAAUGCUCAAGUGUUUCUUAUAACUUGCAGUGUCUGACCAGUGGGCGACACCGCGACAGAAUUCUCCUCGUCCUCUUCGCGCGCGCCUCAAGACUGACGUCUUCUUGGAUCUCCUGCCCGGCUGCCCCCCGCCACCGCAGCCCCGCUGGGUACCUCGACCAAACCCCGCCACGCGCGGCAGACGACCGAAGAAUCGCAUAAAUUAUCAAUGCUAUAAAAAGAGAAGAAGUUGAAGCAGCUCCAGUUAGGAUGAAUAGUCCCCUAAAGUUGGCAAAGGAACCUCAAAGCCUCGAGGUAUGUCUAUGGAUUCUCCUGGCCAGAUCACAGGAUUAAGAUCUGGCAGUAAGUUUGUUGUUGAUUGUGAUUGAUUUAAUCUCCGUGAAAGUCCAUUUUGUGCUUUCCAAAAUCCAAUUUCUCUCCAUCCUCUCCCAAUUAUAUUUAUUAUUUGAAAUGUUGAAACAGCAAGCUGCCUA